rnacentral:rRNA from 1 species
GACGAACGCUGGCGGCGUGCUUAACACAUGCAAGUCGAACGGAAAGGCCCUGCUUUUGUGGGGUGCUCGAGUGGCGAACGGGUGAGUAACACGUGAGUAACCUGCCCUUGACUUUGGGAUAACUUCAGGAAACUGGGGCUAAUACCGGAUAGGAGCUCCUGCUGCAUGGUGGGGGUUGGAAAGUUUCGGCGGUUGGGGAUGGACUCGCGGCUUAUCAGCUUGUUGGUGGGGUAGUGGCUUACCAAGGGUUUGACGGGUAGCCGGCCUGAGAGGGUGACCGGCCACAUUGGGACUGAGAUACGGCCCAGACUCCUACGGGAGGCAGCAGUGGAGAAUAUUGCACAAUGGGCGGAAGCCUGAUGCAGCAACGCCGCGUGCGGGAUGACGGCCUUCGGGUUGUAAACCGAUUUCGCCUGUGACGAAGCGUGAGUGACGGUAAUGGGUAAAGAAGCACCGGCUAACUACGUG